rnacentral:rRNA from 1 species
GAUGAACGCUGGCGGCGUGCCUAAUACAUGCAAGUCGAGCGAAUGGAUUAAGAGCUUGCUCUUAUGAAGUUAGCGGCGGACGGGUGAGUAACACGUGGGUAACCUGCCCAUAAGACUGGGAUAACUCCGGGAAACCGGGGCUAAUACCGGAUAACAUUUUGAACCGCAUGGUUCGAAAUUGAAAGGCGGCUUCGGCUGUCACUUAUGGAUGGACCCGCGUCGCAUUAGCUAGUUGGUGAGGUAACGGCUCACCAAGGCAACGAUGCGUAGCCGACCUGAGAGGGUGAUCGGCCACACUUGGACUGAGCCACGGCCCAGACUCCUACGGGAGGCAGCAGUAGGGAAUCUUCCGCAAUGGACGAAAGUCUGACGGAGCAACGCCGCGUGAGUGAUGAAGGCUUUCGGGUCGUAAAACUCUGUUGUUAGGGAAGAACAAGUGCUAGUUGAAUAAGCUGGCACCUUGACGGUACCUAACCAGAAAGCCACGGCUAACUACGUGCCAGCAGCCGCCGUAA